rnacentral:rRNA from 1 species
CGUGUAGGCGGUCAGGUAAGUCAGAUGUGAAAGCCCUGGGCUCAACCCAGGAAGUGCAUUUGAAACUACUUGACUUGAGUACGGGAGAGGACGGGGGAAUUCCCGGUGUAGAGGUGAAAUUCGUAGAUAUCGGGAGGAAUACCGGUGGCGAAGGCGCCCGUCUGGACCGAUACUGACGCUGAGACGCGAAAGCGUGGGGAGCAAACA